CGAAAUGCGAUAAGUAAUGUGAAUUGCAGAAUUCAGUGAAUCAUCGAAUCUUUGAACGCACCUUGCGCUCCUUGGUAUUCCUUGGAGCAUGCCUGUUUGAGUAUCAUGAAAUCUUCAAAGUAAAUCUUUUGUUAACUCAAUUGGUUUCUACUUUGGUAUUGGAGGUCUUUGCAGCUUCACACCUGCUCCUCUUUGUUCAUUAGCUGGAUCUCGGUGUUAUGCUUGGUUCCACUCGGCGUGAUAAGUUAUCUAUCGCUGAGGACACUGUAAAAGGUGGCCAAGGUAAAUGCAGAUGAACCGCUUCUAAUAGUCCAUUGACUUGGACAAUACUUUUAUGAUCUGAUCUCAAAUCAGGUAGGACUACCCGCUGAACUUAAGC
rnacentral:misc_RNA from 1 species